rnacentral:snRNA from 1 species
AUACUUACCUGGCAGAGGAGACACUAUGAUCACAAAGGUGGUUUUCCUAGGGCAAGGAUGAUCCGUUGCACUGGCGAUCUGCUGAACCCAGUGAUUUCCCCACAUGGGUGAAACCCUAUUGCAUAAUUGGUGUGUUGGUGUGGGGGUGCAUUCGGGUUUGUCCCCA